AUCUCGAAGGCGGUGAUACGAGGAAACUCUCAUCACCUUCAACCUCCCUGUUGGACUUGAGCCGGGCUUCGUGCCCGGCUUUUUUU
rnacentral:ncRNA from 1 species